rnacentral:rRNA from 1 species
GCUCAGGAUGAACGCUGGCGGCGUGCCUAAUACAUGCAAGUCGAACGCAUUGUGGUUGAAAUGAUAUGAAGAACUUGUUCAGAUUUGAUUUUCAACAUUGCAAUGAGUGGCGAACGGGUGAGUAACACGUGGGAAACCUACCUCUUAGCAGGGGAUAACAUUUGGAAACAAAUGCUAAUACCGUAUAAUAAUUAAAACCGCAUGGUUUUAGUUUAAAAGAUGGUCUUGCUAUCACUAAGAGAUGGUCCCGCGGUGUAUUAGUUAGUUGGUGAGGUAAUGGCUCACCAAGACAAUGAUACAUAGCCGAGUUGAGAGACUGACCGGCCACAAUGGGACUGAGACACGGCCCAUACUCCUACGGGAGGCAGCAGUAGGGAAUCUUCCACAAUGGACGAAAGUCUGAUGGAGCAACGCCGCGUGUGUGAUGAAGGGUUUCGGCUCGUAAAACACUGUUGUAAGAGAAGAAUGACAUUGAGAGUAACUGUUCAAUGUGUGACGGUAUCUUACCAGAAAGGAACGGCUAAAUACGUGCCAGCAGCCGCGGUAAUACGUAUGUUCCAAGCGUUAUCCGGAUUUAUUGGGCGUAAAGCGAGCGCAGACGGUUAUUUAAGUCUGAAGUGAAAGCCCUCGGCUCAACCGAGGAAUUGCUUUGGAAACUGGAUAACUUGAGUGCAGUAGAGGAAAGUGGAACUCCAUGUGUAGCGGUGAAAUGCGUAGAUAUAUGGAAGAACACCAGUGGCGAAGGCGGCUUUCUGGACUGUAACUGACGUUGAGGCUCGAAAGUGUGGGUAGCAAACAGGAUUAGAUACCCUGGUAGUCCACACUGUAAACGAUGAGUGCUAGUUGUUCGAGGGUUUCCGCCCUUGAGUGACGAAGCUAACGCAUUAAGCACUCCGCCUGGGGGAGUACGACCGCAAGGUUGAAACUCAAAGGAAUUGACGGGGACCCGCACAAGCGGUGGAGCAUGUGGUUUAAUUCGAAGCAACGCGAAGAACCUUACCAGGUCUUGACAUCCUUUGACCACUCCAGAGAUGGAGCUUUCCCUUCGGGGACAAAGUGACAGGUGGUGCAUGGUUGUCGUCAGCUCGUGUCGUGAGAUGUUGGGUUAAGUCCCGCAACGAGCGCAACCCUUAUUGUUAGUUGCCAGCAUUUAGUUGGGCACUCUAGCAAGACUGCCGGUGACAAACCGGAGGAAGGCGGGGAUGACGUCAAAUCAUCAUGCCCCUUAUGACCUGGGCUACACACGUGCUACAAUGGCAAGUACAACGAGUCGCCAACCCGCGAGGGUGCGCAAAUCUCUUAAAGCUUGUCUCAGUUCGGACUGUAGGCUGCAACUCGCCUACACGAAGUCGGAAUCGCUAGUAAUCGCGGAUCAGCACGCCGCGGUGAAUACGUUCCCGGGUCUUGUACACACCGCCCGUCACACCAUGAGAGUUUGUAACACCCAAAGUCGGUGAGGUAACCUUUUAUUAGGAGCCAGCCGCCUAAGGUGGGACAGAUGAUUAGGGUGAAGUCGUA